CCAAACGAUAGCUCCCUGGCGGCCGUUCGCAUGGACCAAACCUGCGAAUAGACUUCACGGGGACCUAGCCAUAAUUCCUUGGAACUAUUUUCGUCAUGAAGACUUCGCAGUUCCCAGUCGGUCCCCAGCGGCACUUUGCCACGAUUCUAUGGAACUUUUUUCGGCUAAGGGACCAUGCGUGCGGUCGGUCAAAUUAUGACUUGCAGGAAAUUCC